ensembl:lncRNA
AUGCCCGCCUACUUGGACAUUGCGCUUCAGAACAGCACGAACGUGAAAGAUCAGCACAUUAGGUGUAAACUCUCUCUGCUGGAAAGGAAGUGCAGCAGCGGUGUGGAGAAACUGAAGAUAGUCAUUGGAGAACACCUCCAGAACGGGAUCCCUACAUCUCCCAUUUCUCCUAUUCUGGAGAAAACCGUGUCCCUUUUCACUCCGAAGAAGGCCUUGCUGUCACCCACGGGCUAUUCCAAAUAUUCCAGGGACAUACUGCGUCUCUUCCCCACUCCAGAGGAGGACAUUGUACCACUCUGCUUUGAACAAUGAGUGGAGAGAUGCAUGGACGUGGAGGUUCCAGUUCAGAGGUCAAGGACCCUGCUGACAUUUACUGUGGCGUUGGCUUAAUGUAUUCACUUGAGGCGCUGCCAUAGACUGCAACUGAUUGGCCGACACUGGAUCGCAACUGACAGAGAGACAUAGUUAAAUGAAUAAUAAGUCCAAAAUAGGUUUUGUCUAAAAUUACAGUGAUUUUGUGAAGGUUAGUUUGUGUAUAUUUCAAUUCUGUCGAAAUGAUUUAGAAAUGCAUUUGCAUGCAUUGUUAUUAGCAGUCGUACUGCUCUAUCCUUUCUAUGAGAAAGUCAACCUUGGAUGUGUUUGGUGAUCUCUGCUACCUGGAAGAAAGCAGAGCGGGUUACUCUGAUUGUAAACACUUGUCCUCGGAGAUUGAGUUAGCGAGUGCUGGGCACUCUUGUUACAAUGUAGAAGUAUGGACAAUGUGACCAUUGGUUCAUCCCACUUUCUUAGGGUAGGUGAGUCAAUGUCGAAUUUGAACCCUGCUAGCCUUUACACUAAGAGGAAAUGUUAUGAUUGUUAUUUUAAAACUUACUGUUUAUUUUGUUUUCAACUACUAAUGAAUGGCUUCACACACAUAUAAAUGUGCCUAAUACACAAAUGUGCCUAAAGUGUUUUUACAUGUACCUAAAGUGUUUAAUUCAAAGACUAAAUAAAUAUUUUCAGCAUAUAUUUCACGUGUCUUUUCAUGUUGUCUUCAAAACACAUCUCUCCAUUGGCAAUCCCCAGAGGGAUGACGGCAUUAGGUACAUACUGUAUGUUAUAUCUCAUGUAGGAAUGAUUUCUUCUCUCCGUUUUAUGCUCCUGACAUGAAGUGACACAAAAAACGGGAAAGUAUAUUAUACUAAAGGGCCAUUCAUACCUCUACAGUAGCUUGUGAACUUGGACAGUCAACAAGCCAACAUUUGGUACAUUUUUAUAGCACAAGAAAGCAUCACAUGGAAAGUAAGAAACCAGGAAGUGAAUACGUGUACAGUCCAGGCCCGGUGUGUUAAAAAAAAAAAACUGACAUAACAUAAGAGAAUAACUUACUAAGAUAGUGCAGGAAUGAACACACAAUGCUGUACUUAGAACGUUGUACACCUUGGACAGCUCAGAAAACCACAGAAAACCUUUCGCUGUAUUCUUAGCGGAAUGUGUUCAAGCACCAACGAAGUUACAGGGCUAGAACUAUUAUAUCCGUUAUAUCCUGACUUACUGCAAUGCAACUAUUCUUUUAAGAUGUGUAUCAGAUUAAACAGAUGUUGUCGGGGCAAAGGUCAAGUCAGUAACAUGCUCAACUUCUGAUAAAUCACAUCAUUGCACUAAUUGGUUUCCUGAUUUAAAAAAGGCAUCCGUAAUUAGGUGAUAAUUGAUCAUGGCUGUCGCAUGGCUGUUGUUUCACUCUUGUGCCUAAGCACACUUGCAGUUGAGUCAUACUGAAAUGGAGUCAUAUUUAACUACCAAGUUUCUCACCAGGCACCUUUGGGGAAUUGGUUGUAUGAAGAGAAGAAUUAGCAUUUAACAAGGCACACUUCUAUUGUUUAAAGAUAUUUCCAUCCUAGGACAAAGUGUGGGAAAGCUCUGGAGAGCGGAGUCACAGUUUAAGGUCUUUGGCAGCUUCAUUCUUUACAUCAAUAUAACAACAAAUAACAAUAAAAUUGUCCACAAAAAAAAGAUGAAAAAAGAUAUUCAGUAAUGUAGUCUGAAACAUUUUAAUAUCUGAAUAAAAUGAAAUCAAUAUAUACAACAGUACGGAAGGAGCCAGUGGUAGUUUCCCUCCAGAAUCCAGAUGGCCCGUGAUGUCAGCCUCUGUCUUUAGUACAACACAGAGUCAAUAGCCGUCACUAAUGGUCCACUGAGCAGCUUUUGUAAUGCAUUGAUCACAGCACACAGGACUCAGUGUGGGAAACUCAGAUCAGCUCUCUACUCACACUGACCAGUGGCCUCAAGACAGAGGACACAUCUGCUACGUUUGAACUCUACUCUGGCAGUAGUCUGCCAAAUCUUCAAAUACACAGACACAAGAGCAGUAUCGCAAUGCAACAUACAGGUAACUGCCAAGAUAAUGGAAACACUUGAGUAAAUGAGGGAUGCAAAGUAUAUCGAAAGCAGGUGCUUCCACACAGGUGUGUUAACUGAAUGAAUUAGGCAAUUAACAUCCCAUCAUGCUUAGCGUCAUGUAUAGAAAUGCUGGGCAGGCCAUUGUUUUGGCUAACAUGACUAUGGCCAAAUAGGACGACAAUGCCCCCAUCCACAAGGCACGACUGGUCACUGAAUGGUUGGAUGAGCAUAAAACCGAUGUAAACCAAAUGCCAUGGGCGUCUCAGUCACCAGAUCUCAACCCAAUUGAACACUUACAGGAGAUUCUGGAGCGGCGAUUGAGACAGCGUUUCCACCACCAUCAACAAAACACCAAAUGAUGGAAUUUAUUGUGAAAGAAUUGUGUCGCGUCGCUCCAAUAGAGUUCCAGACACUUGUAGAAUCUAUGUCAAGGUGCAUUGAAGCUGUUCUGGCUCGUGGUGACCCAACAUACUAUUAAGCCACUUUGUGUUGGUGUUUCCUUUAUUUUGGCAGUUACCUUAUUAACUUAUAACUAACUAUACAAUAUUAGGUUUCAAAGGUGACAAUGUUCUUAAAGUCUCUGUUGAUUAUAGCUAGAAAUCUAUAUUAAAUUUUUUUUAAAAAAUAUUUUACUGUCAAAUUUGACACUUUAUUUUGCAAUACAACCAUCAGAAGGGAUUAGGUGUUACAACAUUCUCAUGUAGAGAAUCUGUGUCAGUCCCACAAGUGUAAAUUGUGAUGAUGAGCGUGUGCUCUGUCAGUGUCAUUAAUCCCAACAUCAGGCAGCAGAUCUAGGGGUCACCACUUUCCCAGAUUCACACAGCGCUUUGUCAGUCACUCUCCAUCACCCCCACCCCUCCACCUAGUCCCCUGAGACGUGACCAUUGUCCCCCAGCAAUAAGAACACUGAGCAUGUGGCAGCUCCACACUCCUCACUGUUCUCCCAAGCUCUCCCAUUGGCUACAGACUGUGAGAAACUCCAACAAGCCCAAGACCCACACAUUCAUAUGCAGAUU